rnacentral:lncRNA from 1 species
GGGUGUGAGUGUGAGGUGAGCUAGGUGAGGUGGCGGCAAUGGCGGGAGAGAAGCAGGUUCUCCCCGGCCAUGGCGAGAUAGGUGGUCUUCUUGGAGGUGGGAGGGAGCGUAGUGGAAGAAGAAGAGCAGAGCAGUCGAGCAGGGGAGGAAGGAGGUGGAGACAAGAGAGAGUUUUUAUGGGGGUUCGAGGAGGAGGUGGAAGACGAAGAGAGAGAGAGAG